rnacentral:rRNA from 1 species
CAMCCCCUGUGACAUACCAAUUGUUGCCUCGGCGGAUCAGCCCGCUCCCGGUAAAACGGGACGGCCCGCCAGAGGACCCCUAAACUCUGUUUCUAUAUGUAACUUCUGAGUAAAACCAUAAAUAAAUCAAAACUUUCAACAACGGAUCUCUUGGUUCUGGCAUCSAUGAAGAACGCMGCAAAAUGCGAUAAGUAAUGUGAAUUGCAGAAUUCAGUGAAUCAUCGAAUCUUUGAACGCACAUUGCGCCCGCCAGUAUUCUGGCGGGCAUGCCUGUUCSAGCGUCAUUUCAACCCUCAAGCCCAGCUUGGUGUUGGGACUCGCGAGUCAAAUCGCGUUCCCCAAAUUGAUUGGCGGUCACGUCGAGCUUCCAUAGCGUAGUAGUAAAACCCUCGUUACUGGUAAUCGUCGCGGCCACGCCGUUAAACCCCAACUUCUGAAUGUUGACCUCGGAUCAGGUAGGAAUACCCGCUGAACUUAAG